rnacentral:rRNA from 1 species
GACGAACGCGGGCGGCGUGCUUAACACAUGCAAGUCGAGCGGUAAGGCCACUUCGGGGGUACACGAGCGGCGAACGGGUGUGUAACACGUGAGCAAUCUGCCCUUCACACGGGGGUAACUUCGGGAAACCGGAGCUAAUACCCGAUACGACGACCUCGGGCAUCCGAUGGUGGGGGCAAGCUCCGGCGGUGAAGGAUGAGCUCGCGGCCUAUCAGCUUGUUGGUGGGGUAACGGCCCACCAAGGCAACGACGGGUAGCCGGCCUGAGAGGGUGACCGGCCACACUGGGACUGAGACACGGCCCAGACUCCUACGGGAGGCAGCAGUGGGGAAUAUUGGACAAUGGGCGAAAGCCUGAUCCAGCAACGCCGCGUGAGGGAUGACGGCCUUCGGGUUGUAAACCUCUUUCAGCAGGGACGAAGCGCAAGUGACGGUACCUGCAGAAGAAGCACCGGCCAACUACGUGCCAGCCGCCGCCGUAACAC